GAGAACCUGCUUGCUCUCUUUGUCUUUCCACAAUGAGAAGAUGGCCAUCUAUAAUCCAGAAAGAGGACCUUCACCAGAACUUGACCAUUCUGGACCCCUGAUCUUAGACUUCCCAGCCUCCAGAACUGGCUUUAGCUGAGGAGGGAGGCAAGUUGUCUACGAGAAAUUAACGUGUCCAGGUCUGCACCACAUGUGGAUAUGGGUCUUGAACUAACACCAUCUCUAUGGCACAGGAAUAUGAAGUCAAACAUUCGCAUAAAAAAUUGAUGAAACUCCUUGGACCCCUGGCAGAACACAUUACCAAUAUGUUUCCAUUAUCUUCUGGAUUUUAUCUCUCCUAUUGGAAAGUCAGUGGGAGACAUUAGACUUCAAGCAAAUACAGUCAAGAAAUGCAUUGGUUUGCUCCAGAAAGGCGGAAUGACUCAAAGAUGUCUGGUCUUCCAGGUUACAGAUGAGUAGCUGAUUCUGGAGCCUAGGUUCUUGCUUCCUGGUCUGGCGAUGAGUCCUCCAUAGUCUGGUGAGUGUAGUGGCCAACUCUAAAGCCCAGGCUGUUGCUUCCCGGUCUGGCAAUGAAUCCUCAGUAGUCUGGAGGACAUCAUGGUGUAGCUGCAAAUUCCAGUUGAUCCCAACUAUCUGGUUAAAAAUGAGCUUCUGCUUGCUGCUUUCUAAAGAAGAAUGGCUUAGAAUGGAUGCGUUUCUGUGCUUUGGAGAAGCUUGUUACUGA
rnacentral:lncRNA from 13 species